rnacentral:rRNA from 1 species
UACAGAGGUCCCAAGCGUUGUUCGGAUUCACUGGGCGUAAAGGGUGCGUAGGCGGUCGGUUAAGUCUGACGUGAAAUCUUCAAGCUCAACUUGGAAACUGCGUCAGAUACUAUUCGGCUAGAGGAAUGGAGGGGAGACUGGAAUACUUGGUGUAGCAGUGAAAUGCGUAGAUAUCAAGUGGAACACCAGUGGCGAAGGCGAGUCUCUGGACAUUUCCUGACGCUGAGGCACGAAAGCCAGGGGAGCAAACGGGAUUAGAUACCCCGGUAGUCCUGGCCCUAAACGGUGCACGUUUGCUGUAAGAGGAAUCGACCCCUUUUGUGGCGAAGCUAACGCGUUAAACGUGCCGCCUGGGAAGUACGGCCGCAAGGUUAAAACUCAAAG